rnacentral:rRNA from 1 species
ACGUACGCUGGCGGUAGGCUUAACACAUGCAAGUCGAACGGCAGCAUAGAGAGCUUGCUCUCUGAUGGCGAGUGGCGAACGGGUGAGUAAUAUAUCGGAACGUGCCUAGUAAUGGGGAAUAACUAGCUGAAAGGUUAGCUAAUGCCGCAUACGACCUACGGGUGAAAGCAGGGGAUCUUCGGACCUUGCGUUAUUAGAGCGGCCGAUAUCUGAUUAGCUUGUUGGUGGGGUAAUGGCCUACCAAGGCGACGAUCAGUAGCUGGUCUGAGAGGACGAUCAGCCACACUGGAACUGAGACACGGUCCAGACUCCUACGGGAGGCAGCAGUGGGGAAUUUUGG